rnacentral:lncRNA from 1 species
GGGGAGGGGCUAAAAGGGAUGGGGAGGGGUUAAAUUGCGUGGGGAGGGGCAGAAGGGGGUGGGGGAGGGGCCGCUCUGAAAGGGUGGGGGAGGGCGAUGGGGAGGUGCUAAAGGGGGUGGGGCUUGAAUGAGGGAGGGGGAGGGGCGUUGUGAGGUGGGGGCGGGGCUCCAGUGCCCCCUCCCCCACCCCUGUCCCCGCCCAGCCCCCCCCAGGCCCCCCCGAGCCGCCGCGUCUCGGCCGAACCCGACUCCGACCCCCCCGAGGACGGCGAUUACACCAACGAACCUUUCGCCAGCGGCUACGUGACGGUGCUGCCGGACCCGACCCCUCCCAGUGACGUCAUCGAUGAUGUCACGGCCGACCCCGGUGACGUCAUCGGGGCGGGGGAGGGGCCGGAGGAGGGGGAGGGGGAGGAGCCGUACGAGAACAUCCCCGAGGGAGAGGGCGGCAACUCCCGGGUGCCCAGCCUGGAGUACAUCAACGUGCCGGGAACCGAGGCGAGCGAGAGCGACGAAGGCGCCGACUACGAGAACCUCUGAGCCCCUCCCCCCACCCCCGUUAUUUAUUGGCUGCCGACGAAUCCUGAGAAGGGCCCCGCCCACACUCCGACAAGCCCCGCCCCCUUUUCUACGAGCCCUCCCCCCACUCUCAUUUGCCCCUCCCCCACCCCAAUAAAGGCACUUUUGAGGUCACUUCCGGUGGGGAGGGGUUUGUUGGGGUGGGGGAGGGGCGGGGCUGAACCCC